CUCCAUGGCCUCCUACCCCCCUCCACCACCGUAGGCACCAUGGCCUCCUACCCCCCUCCACCACCGUAGGCGCACACAGACAGCAGAUCCGUGCUGGAGAAGAGCAGCUCCAGUCACGGUUGGGUGCAGCCGCGACGAAGAUGAAGGAGCUCCGCCACUCGUCUUUGCCUCCUCGCCGUGUCCUUGUUGCUCCUCCUCCUCUCUCCCUCCGUUCCUGGCAGCGCAACAUCCAGGGACAAGGGGAAGGAGCAGCUAGACCCGGCUCCAUCUAUCUUUCCUAAAUGCACGAGGACUGGAGGAGCAGGUGGCAAGGGAAGCCAUCAUGGCCUCCAUAUCUCUUUCCGUCGUGCACGAGGACUGGUCGAGAAGGUGGCAAGGGAAGCCGCCAUGGCUAGCCGCGGUGCUGCACAGGGAUGCCUACCUCCGGGUUUCCGUCUUGUCUCCGAUCCCCUUCCGUUUCAGUGUGUGUUCUUUUUUCCUCUUGGCCCGAUCUGCUCACAUGUUUGGGGUUUCAUGUUGUAGGGAUCAAGUCUGGUGCGGGCGGUGUGGUAUAAUGCAUAGUGCCAUUUAUCUGGUACAGGAGAAUGUCAAUGGUAAAGCAUUUGGUUCUGAUGGAUCAUAUUAUUGGUUCUCUGUUCAACUAAAGAUGGCUUCAGAUAAGACUACGGUUUGAAUAUUCAUGUAUUAUUUUUCUGCAUGUUGUAGUUUCUUGUUCUUCUAUAAACUGGAAGGCCAAUAUAUAUUUCUCAAUGUAUCAUUUUGGGACUGUUUGACUGCUGAACAAUAUUGCCAUGCUGAUCAUUCUUCAUGUCUUUGCAAUUUUUGGCCUUUGUUUUGAUUUCGUUGUGUGGCUGUGCUUCGAUCCAGGUGAGUUGAGUUACGGCUUGGUUGGAGAUGUUGAUGUUGUUCGAGACGUGUGUUGGAUUCACCGUUUUCAAGGUUCUGAAUAAGGGCAAGUUUGACUAGGUCGAAAUAAAUUCAUUUGUGUCAAGUAUCACCUUUUGCCAUAUCAAUAUGAAAAGUUGUCAUAUAUUGGCCUGUCAAAUUUAUCAGGCACACAUCUGACCUCCGGGAAACGAGCAAGCACAUCAAGCCACUACCAGAUUUCCACCCUUCCCUGUACACGUUGGCCCAUCUAUGAGAUUCAGCUGCAGUACACCUGAUGGUGCAGCAGUCAUUUGUUCCUUGUCUAGAAUGGCAUGUUCCUCUGGUUGCUUAUGAUAAAAAAGGCAAGACAAAACUAAAAAGGUGAUCUGGCAUAAGUGGAAGGAGGGAAGCUGCCGUAAGAUCUGACAAUAACUUGCCUCCGCUCUAACAAGAGCAUGUUCGUUCAGACCUUACUAAAAGUUAUUUAUAUAUAGCAGGUGUUUCCAUUGUAACUAUCAAAUUCAAACUCCUAGAUGUCUAUGUCAGGAUGUAGGACGUAGUCCAGGCAGGGAUAUCCCCGUUGAUCUUUUCGUGGAUCCUUUCACACUUCAUUCUGCAAAGUGCUGGUGAUUUAAAUAGAAUCUCUCUGUUCAAAACACAAUAUAAUUCAAGCUACUAGAAGAGCUUGUUCAUUCAGACCUUUCCUUACAUUUUAACUAUGACAGUGAUCUCUUU